CGAGUGGCGCACGGGUGCGUAACGCGUAUGCAACCUACCUUUAACUGGGAAAUAGCCCCGAGAAAUCGGGAUUAAUGUCCCAUACUAUUCUUUGAAUGCAUAUUCUGAGAAUGAAAGCUCCGGCGGUUAUUGAUGGGCAUGCGUGACAUUAGCUAGUUGGUGAGGUAACGGCUCACCAAGGCGACGAUGUCUAGGGGUCCUGAGAGGGUUAACCCCCACACUGGUACUGAGACACGGACCAGACUCCUACGGGAGGCAGCAGUAAGGAAUAUUGGGCAAUGGACGCAAGUCUGACCCAGCCAUGCCGCGUGAAGGAUGAAUGUCCUAUGGAUUGUAAACUUCUUUUAUGCAGGAAAAAUAUCCCGGUCGUGAACCGGGACUGAUGGUACUGUAUGAAUAAGCAUCGGCUAACUCCGUGCCAGCAGCCGCGGUAAUACGGAGGAUGCAAGCGUUAUCCGGAUUCAUUGGGUUUAAAGGGUGCGCAGGCGGAAUGAUAAGUCAGUGGUGAAAUCUCCCGGCUCAACCGGGAAACUGCCAUUGAUACUGUCGUUCUUGAGUACAGUUGAAGUGGGCGGAAUGUGCCAUGUAGCGGUGAAAUGCUUAGAUAUGACACAGAACACCGAUAGCGAAGGCAGCUCACUAAGCUGUAACUGACGCUCAUGCACGAAAGCGUGGGGAUCAAACAGGAUUAGAUACCCUGGUAGUCCACGCUGUAACGAUGAUCACUCGUUGUUGGCGAUAUACUGUCAGCGACUGAGCGAAAGCAUUAAGUGAUCCACCUGGGGAGUACGGCGGCAACGUUGAAACUCAAAGGAAUUGACGGGGGCCCGCACAAGCGGAGGAGCAUGUGGUUUAAUUCGAUGAUACGCGAGGAACCUUACCUGGGCUUAA
rnacentral:rRNA from 1 species